rnacentral:rRNA from 1 species
AAUUUUCUAAAGUAAAAUUAAAACUUUUUUUCGAAUUUAUAGUGUCGUUGAAAAUACCGAUUUUUUUCUUUAAGACUAAAAGACCCUAAAAUUUUUAUAAAUUUAAUUUUAUUUAAUUGGGGAAAUGAUAUAAAUUAAAUAUAAUAAAAAAA